CCUACGGGUGGCAGCAGUGAGGAAUAUUGGUCAAUGGGCGCGAGUCUGAACCAGCCAAGUAGCGUGAAGGAUGACUGCCCUACGGUUUGUAACUUCUUUUAUGAAGGAAUAAAAUGAGGCACGUGUUCCUUUUUGUAUGUACUUUAUGAAUAAUGAUCUGCUAACUCCGUGCCAGCAGCCGCGGUAAUACGUAGGAUCCGAGCGUUAUCCGGAUUUAUUGGGUUUAAAGGAUGCGUAGAUGGGUUGUUAAGUCAGUUGUGAAAGUUUGCGGCUCAACCGUAAAAUUGCAAUUGAUACUGGCAGACUUGAGUGCAGGUGAGGUAGGCGGAAUUCGUGGUGUAGCGGUGAAAGGCUUAGAUAUCACGAAGAACUCCGAUUGCGAAGGCAGCCUACUAAACUGCAACUGACAUUGAUGCUCGAAAGUGUGGGUAUCAAACAGGAGUAGAUACCCGGGUAGUC
rnacentral:rRNA from 1 species